UACGGAGGAUUCGAGCGUUAUCCGGAUUUAUUGGGUUUAAAGGGUGCGCAGGCGGGGGAUUAAGUCGGCGGUGAAAUUUUGCAGCUCAACUGUAAAAGUGCCUUCGAAACUGGUUUCCUUGAGCGUAGAUGAAGUAGGCGGAAUUUGUGGUGUAGCGGUGAAAUGCAUAGAUAUCACGAGGAACUCCGAUUGCGCAGGCAGCUUACUAAACCACUACUGACGCUCAGGCACGAAGGCGUGGGGAUCAAACAGGAUUAGAUACCCGGGUAGUCCCU
rnacentral:rRNA from 1 species